GAAAACAUUGGUCUAGAAAGGAAAACGGUGAUAUAGCAGUACAAUAUUGAUAACCUUGCUUCAAGUAAGGUAUCCAGUUUGCUGGGCCGAGAGGAAACCGAAGAACUCAGAGAAAACAUGCAACUAUAAUCCUUGUCAGCCCUGUUUAUACAUGUAUAUAUGAAGAGGAAUAUAUAUGGUUUUCUGUUGACUUCGCUCUGAAUGGAAAGUUUUAUGAUAAAAAGUGUUUUUAUUGAGGUAGUAAAAUAUAUAUGGCUAUGUUCCAAAUAAACUCACUAUAGUGUGUAUAAAGAGGUUUAGUUCAAAUAUUUGACUUGAUUUUAGUGAAGAGAAGAAAGUAGAAAGUAAAGACUAAUUGUCUACUUGUAGAAGAGAUGAAUGGUUAUAUUAGUCGAGAGGAGAAGAGUAUCUGACAACACAGUUCGUCAACACAUAUAAUUACAAGAAAUACUCAAAACACUCUGCCAACAUGCAUCAAAACAUGAGUGAACUACAUUUUAUUAUGUAGAUCUGAGCAGAACUAUUAUUAUAACAAAAAGAAAUUAUAUAAGACAUUCAUUACAAUACUGGACCAAUAGCGCAGAAAAUAUUGAGCAGUUCAAAAAGAAAUCAUAUAGAAUGCAUAUUCUAUUUACU